rnacentral:rRNA from 1 species
CCUACGGGGGGCUGCAGUGGGGAAUAUUGGACAAUGGGCGAAAGCCUGAUCCAGCCAUGCCGCGUGUGUGAAGAAGGCCUUCGGGUUGUAAAGCACUUUCAGUGGGGAAGAAAGCCUUGGGGCUAAUACCCUCGAGGAAGGACAUCACCCACAGAAGAAGCACCGGCUAACUCCGUGCCAGCAGCCGCGGUAAUACGGAGGGUGCGAGCGUUAAUCGGAAUUACUGGGCGUAAAGCGCGCGUAGGCGGUCUGAUAAGCCGGUUGUGAAAGCCCCGGGCUCAACCUGGGAACGGCAUCCGGAACUGUCAGGCUAGAGUGCAGGAGAGGAAGGUAGAAUUCCCGGUGUAGCGGUGAAAUGCGUAGAGAUCGGGAGGAAUACCAGUGGCGAAGGCGGCCUUCUGGACUGACACUGACGCUGAGGUGCGAAAGCGUGGGUAGCAAACAGGAUUAGAUACCCAGUAGUC